AUCCUUCUGAAGGGUAGCCGCCUGAUCAGAACGCAGAAUCGUGUGGUGGGACCAGUCUACAAAGCAAGAUUUGGGCCAAAUAUAUCCAUCAAAAUGACUAAAAUGACUGCUGCUUACCUUGGAGUGCUUGUGCUAGUCACAUGUUUUUCAACACUGGUCCGCUCUAAUGCGACUAUGGCAACCCCAGCCGCUAACCACACCGUCACCAUGGCCCACAACUCUACUAUGAUGCUGACCAGCGCUUACACCAACGCGAAUAACUUCACCACUCCAAGCGGGGCUGUGUCCUUCACGCGGAGUGGCCCUUUCUCCAUACUUCUCCCCGUUGCCAUGGCAGCCUCUCUAGUGUGCAGCCGCUCCUGAAAAAAAAAAAAGAACCCAAGCGCUCAGUAAUCAACCAAGACUGUAACAUCCAGCGGCCAACAU